GACCUAGUGGCGUAGUGGUUUCGCACCCACGUUGUGUUCACACCUCUUAAGCGAUCAUCUAUGGUUCCUCGUUCGACUCGAGGCUAGGUUA